rnacentral:rRNA from 1 species
UACGGAGGGUGCAAGCGUUGUCCGGAUUUAUUGGGUUUAAAGGGCCAGUAGGCGGCCAACUAAGUCCGACGUGAAAUCCCCAGGCUUAACCUGGGAACUGCGUCGGAUACUGGAUGGCUUGAAUUCGGGAGAGGGAUGCAGAAUUCCAGGUGUAGCGGUGAAAUGCGUAGAUAUCUGGAGGAAUACCGGUGGCGAAGGCGGCAUCCUGGACCGAGAUUGACGCUGAACGGCGAAAGCUAGGGGAGCGAACAGG